GGCGAACGGGUGAGUAUAAUGUAGGUAUCUGCCUUUUGGUUUGGAAUAACACGAGGAAACUUGUGCUAAUACCGGAUAAGCCUUCACAGGGAAAGUUUUAACGCCAAAAGAUGAGCCUGCACUUGAUUAGCUAGUUGGUAAGGUAAUGGCUUACCAAGGCUACGAUCAAUAGCUGUUCUUAGAGGAAGAUCAGCCACAUUGGGACUGAGACACGGCCCAAACUCCUACGGGAGGCAGCAGUGGGGAAUCUUGCACAAUGGGGGAAACCCUGAUGCAGCGAUGCCGCGUGAGUGAAGAAGGCCCUUGGGUUGUAAAGCUCUUUCGUCGGGGAAGAAAAUGACUGUACCCGAAUAAGAAGGUCCGGCUAACUUCGUGCCAGCAGCCGCGGUAAUACGAAGGGACCUAGCGUAGUUCGGAAUUACUGGGCUUAAAGAGCACGUAGGUGGUUAAGAAAGUUGGUGGUGAAAUCCCAAGGCUUAACCUUGGAACUGCCACCAAAACUUUUUAACUAGAGUAUGAUUGAGGCAAGCGGAAUUUCUAGUGUAGAGGUGAAAUUCGUAGAUAUUAGAAAGAACACCAAUUGCGAAGGCAGCUUUCUGGAUCAUUACUGACACUGAGGUGCGAAAGCAUGGGUAGCGAAGAGGAUUAGAUACCCUCGUAGUCCAUGCCGUAAACGAUGUGUGCUAGACGUUGGGAAUUUAUUUUUCAGUGUCGCAGCAAAAGCGUUAAGCACACCGCCUGGGGAGUACGACCGC
rnacentral:rRNA from 1 species